rnacentral:rRNA from 1 species
UACGGAGGAUCCGAGCGUUAUCCGGAUUUAUUGGGUUUAAAGGGUGCGUAGGCGGCCUAUUAAGUCAGGGGUGAAAGACGGUAGCUUAACUAUCGCAGUGCCUUUGAUACUGAUGGGCUUGAAUGUAGUUGAGGCAGGCGGAAUGUGACAAGUAGCGGUGAAAUGCAUAGAUAUGUCACAGAACACCAAUUGCGAAGGCAGCUUGCUAAAGUACGAUUGACGCUGAGGCACGAAAGCGUGGGGAGCGAACAGG